UUGUGUCUUAGAGGUUGCGAUAGAUAAAGAGUACUGUGUAGGAGACGGAGGCGGUCAAGGAUUACACGGGAAAGGUAUCGUCGCCGAAGCCCAUAGAUUUGCCUAGAUCUAUGUUGCUGGGGCUAUAUUGAAUAAAUAUAGAACUGUCACGAAUGGAUCACCCAGUCUAUUCGUGAAGCGCUAUUUCACAA
rnacentral:ncRNA from 1 species